AUGGCAACAAGGGUACUACCCAACUUCUCCACAGCACCCAGGACAAGGGCAACAACCAGACAAGGGCAACAAGGAUACUACCCAACUUCUCUGCAGCAGCCAGGACAAGAGCAACAGUCAGGACAAGGGCAACAGUUAGGACAAGGACACCAACCAGGACAAGGGCAACAAUCAGGACAAGAGCAACAAGGCUACGGCACCCCAUACCAUGUUAGCGUGGAGCAGCAAGCGGCCAGCCCAAAAGUGGCAAAGGCGCACCAUCCGGUGGCACAGCUGCCGACAAUGUGCCAGAUGGAGGGGGGCGACGCAUUGUCGGCUAGCCAGUGA
rnacentral:rRNA from 1 species